rnacentral:rRNA from 1 species
UGGGGAAUAUUGGACAAUGGGCGCAAGCCUGAUCCAGCAAUGCCGCGUGGAUGAAGAAGGUCUUCGGAUUGUAAAGUCCUUUCGGCGGGGACGAUGAUGACGGUACCCGCAGAAGAAGCCCCGGCUAACUUCGUGCCAGCAGCCGCGGUAAUACGAAGGGGGCUAGCGUUGCUCGGAAUGGCUGGGCGUAAAGGGCGCGUAGGCGGAUUGGUUUGUCGGGUGUGAAAUUCCUGGGCUUAACCUGGGGUGUGCAUUCGGGACGGCUGGUCUUGAGUUUGGCAGAGGGUCGUGGAAUUCCCAGUGUAGAGGUGAAAUUCGUAGAUAUUGGGAAGAACACCGGUGGCGAAGGCGGCGACCUGGUCCAUGACUGACGCUGAUGCGCGAAAGCGU